ensembl:lncRNA
UGAAAAGGGAAAAAGAACGAAAAGGAAAAAAUGGAAAUGAAAAGGGAAAAAAGGAAGAAUAAAAUGGGGAAAGAAAAGAAAAGGGAAAAGGGAGAAAUGAAAAGGAAAAAAAGGGAAUGAGAAGAAAAAAUGGGAAAUGAAAAGGAAAAAGGGAAAAAUAAAAGGGGAAGUAAAAGGGGGGAAAGGAAAUGAAAAGGGAAAAAGGGAAUGAAAAGGAAAAAAAUGGGAAUGAAAAGGAAAAAAAUGGGAAUGAAAAGGAAAAAUGGAAAUGAAAAAAAAGGAACAAUCAAAGGGGAAGAAAAAGGGGGAAAAAGAAAAGGAAAAGGGGGGAAUGAAAAGAAGGGGAAAAAAGGAAAAAUAAAAAGGGAGGAAGAAAAGAAAUGAGGGGGAAAAGGGACAAAUGAAAAGGGAAAGGGGGAAAAGAAGAAAAAAGGAAAAACGAAGAAAAAAGAAAAAAACAAAAACGAAGAAAAAAGGAAAAUAAGAGGGGGAAAGGGGAAAAGAAAAGAGGGAAAAGGACAAAAAAAGGGAAGAGGAAAAAAGAAGUAGGAAAAGAAGUGGAAGAAAGGAAAAAAGGAGAAGAAAAGAGGAAAAAAGGACAAAAAAGGAAAGAAGGACAGAAGAAAAAAGGAAAAAAAGAGAAAAUUAAGAAGAAAAAUGUGGAAAAAGGGGAAAAAAGGGAACAGAAAAAAAAGGAAAAGAGGAAAAAUGGGAAAAAAAGACGGAAGGAAGAAGAGGACAAAAGAGGAAAAAGGAAAAAAAAGGACAAAAAAGAAGAGAGGAAGAAAAUGGGGGAAAAGAAGAAAAAGGAAAGAAGAAAAUGGGAAAAAAAAUAGGAAAAAGGAAAAGGAAAAAAAGGAAAAAGGAAAAAAAUGAGAAAAAGGAAAAAGGGGGAAAAAGGAAAAAAAGGGAAGGAGGGAAAAAAAGAAAAAGGGAAAAAGUGGAAAAGGGGGAAAGGGAAAAAAAGGUAAAGGGAAAAAAAGUAAAGGAAAAAAUGGGGAAAAAAUAGAAAAAAAUGGGAGAAAAAGGAAAAAAUAAAUAAAAAUGGAAAAAGGAAAAUUGAAAAAAUUGAAAAAAAAUGGGAAAAAAUGGGAAAAUGGGGAAAAAAGGAAAAAUGGGGGAGAAUUGAAAAAAAGGGAAAAAAUGGGAAAAAAGGAAAAAAUGGGAAAAAUGGGAAAAUGAAAAAAAAAGGAAAAAAGAAAAACAAAAAAAAAAAGAAUCCUGAUGUCAGAUUCUGAAUAUUUCUUCUUUGUAGCUUUUUGGAAUCAUUCGGAGUCAAAGUUUGUUACUUUAUUUUGGUAAUUAAGCGCUCGCGUUAACGAAGCUGGGAUGGCGCCGUCGCUUCUUUCCUUUCGCCGUCGGUUGCAAUGGGGAUUUUUGUUUCUUGUGACCACGGCGGCUGCCACAGUGACGGGAAGGGAGGAUUAAUUAGCAGGGGGGGUAAUUAAGGGGCGAUGGAGUUAAUGAGGAUUGGAG